rfam:Mycobacterium diernhoferi strain Bard NODE_9_length_198356_cov_8.3779_ID_1922, whole genome shotgun sequence.
GGCGGUCUUCGGUAGUGGCUGCCGGGGUUUGACCCCGGCCGCUUCGAUCGACGGCCGUA